rnacentral:lncRNA from 1 species
CGGCCUGACGCGCGGGAGCGGGAGCCGCUGGCCUCUGCUUUAGAGCGCUUUUGCUUUCCGAAUACAGCCUUCAUAAGGGCAAGAGCUUCCACCCAUUUUGUUCACUGCUGUGGCCCUGAUGCCUGGGACAGCCCUGCUGAGAGAUGAGGAAAGGUCUCACGUGCCCACUGAAGCCCCUGAUGUGGUCACAGAGGACUUGCCGGGGCCGAAGACACAGACUUGUGUGGAGAGCUGCUUUCUCACAGUCGGUCCAGGCGUCCGCCUCUGCUUUUCUCUCCUCCACCUGCACCUGUAGGAGAUGAGUGUUUAGAUGCCACCAGCCUGGCUUUCUACCUUUCACACUUUCUUUCACUCAGGGAUUCCUAGCCCGAGCCUAAGGCAUCAAGGACUCAGGAGGAGUCAUCAGAUCCCAUUCUCAUGAGUGGAACCUUCCCCAAAUCUCUCAGUAGCCUGGGUGUCCCCUGGACCAGAGCUUUCUUUCCCACUUGGAUCCCAUCCCAGUUCAUCACCAGCAUCACUCAUGACGUGGCUCCUCCAACCAGCCAGGGACUGGUAGGGCCUCACCUGCCACCAGGAACGGGGCUGGGUUUCUAGCUGGCAGGCUGAUGCUGGGCCCCACAAUCCCACAACUGCCCGAGGGAGUGGCCACAGUUCCGUUUAGAGCCCGUUUCCUCAGAUCACUCCUGGCACCUGACCUCUGAGAGCUGGUGCGCUGGGAAGCAGAUGUGGAGAAGACGGUUUGUGUGAAAUGAGUGUCCUGAGAAGUGACCCUGGUGUCUUCGCCUGUAAAGGAAGAGCAGACAUAACCCGAGCAGAAGCUGAUUGCGGUGGUGGCUGCAGCAAGGCCUCAGUCCAUCCCACUGGGGUCUGAGUGGGAGGGCCUUGCAGACUCGUCCUGCCACGAGGGAGGCCCUGGCCCUCUCUCCUCCCUUCAUGGACCAGUCAUGGGGUGCUGUGAACUUGGGCAGGCGGCUCCCUUCACCCAGGCCAGUUCCCGGCCAGGGGCUCAGCAGAGAGCCUGGAGCCACCAACGUUCCCAGCAGCUGAGGGAUGCUGAGGGGGACCUGGGCACCACUGCGGCCACCGCUGUCCCCUUUAAAUGCCUCUUGACCUAUCUGCCCCUUCUUGAGCAUUGCCUCUCCCCAGGCUCCAUUCUCAGGCCUUUUCUUCGUUGACUCCCAUUUCUUUGGGGGGAGCAGGGAGCAUGACCCGUGCUCCCCGGCCUUAACCAGCCCUGAGCCUGGGCCCCAGGGUUUCCUGUCUCUCCAGCAUCGCCAGUUUAUGCUUCUCUUUGCCCCGCCCCUUGGGACGGCCCACCUCUUGCAUCCUUUGAUCCACCCCCCCCCCCACUGCUCCUACACGCGGCCCUCACUGCCUCCCUCCCGGGCUUGCUGUCCACUCAGGCCCCCGGCUCCGGGCAUGGGCGUCACAGCCCUUCGGGAGUGGAAGGGGUCACUUUACAUGCAUGUUUCCUCCCUCCUGUCUCUGUUUCCAGUGUUGCUCUCUCCUGCGUCCCCCAAAGCCAGCCCCUCCGCCUCGCCACUGCUGCUGGGGACACUUCCUCAAUCACAGAUUGUUAUUCACAUAGGAACAGUUGCUGGACGCUUGCCACGGCCUGCCCACGUCACAUUCUGGGCCAGUCAUGGUGAGCGACGCAGAAAAAGUCUCUGCUUGGAGUUCCCGUUGUGGCUCAGAGGGUUAUGAACUUGACCAGUACCCACAAAGAUCCUGGCCUCACUCAGUGGGUUAGGGAUCCCAGCUUGCCGUUGCUGUGGUGCAGGCCGGCAGCUGCAGCUCCAAUUCAACCUCCAACCUGGGAACUUCCAUAUGCUGCGGGUGCAGACCUAAAAAGAAAAAGAAAACAAAAGCAAGAAAAGUCUCUGCUUUCAGUGGCGUUUACAUUUUAGUAGGAGACACAGGAAACUAAAGAAAUGACUGAAUGAGCUGAUGGGUAAAUCAGUAUUAGAGAGUGAUAAAUGCUGUGCCAAGAAUUAGAAUAAGGAGUUCCUGUCGUGGCUCAGCAGAAAUGAAUCUGACUAGUAUCCAUGAGGAUGUGGGUUCGAUCCCUGGGCCCGCUCAGCAGGUUAAGGAUCCAGGGUUGCUGUGAGCUGUGGUGUAGGUCGAAGAUGUGGCUCCGAUCUGGCGUUGCUGUGGCUGUGGUGUAGGCUGGCAGCUACAGCUUAGAUUCCACCACUAGCCUGGGAACAUCCAUAUGCCCUGGGUAUGGCCCUAAAAAGACAAAAGUAAAAAACAAACCCCCAAAAUUUAGAAUACUGUGGCCGAGUGUGGCAGGAUCAGCAAAGGUCUCACGUUGUCUUCUGGGCAGGGGGCAGACUCUAGUGUGGCACAAAAGGCUCUGGUGGAGACAAGCUCUGGCCCCCUGGCGAGGACUGACAGCUUCCUCCUGCCCCUUGCACUCGGUCAGUUGGGGGUAACCCUUCCUGGAGGGCCAAGGGGCCACCUGGGUUCCCCUUCUCCCCCGCCUUCCUUCCCUUAUCCUCCCAGUCCCCCCUGUGCUGGAACAAUGUCCCUUAUGGGUGACAGCGACAAAAGCCCAGCUGGCCUCAGCAGGUUUAUUCUUAUCAGUGACUAGACCCAGACAAUUAACAAUCCCUUUCAACGGCCCUCUUGGCCAUGAUUUUUGGGAAAUGCUGACUAGGACAUGACUUGGGGAAGAGAGAUUAUUUUAAAAAAAGAAAGAAAAGAAAACAGGUGCAGUGCUCUUUCCUACUGAGCCUGUCACCGGGGUUAGAUUUGCAGCCUCCACCCUUAACCGUUGUCCCCUGCCUGCCCAGGAGCCGCCCCUCCCCCAAUUCCACCUCCCUGAGGUUUUGGAAGGAAAACUAAACAAUGGCUAAAUGAAACCAAGCCCGUUAUCAACGGGUUCCACGUCACGGCUGAUAAUUCCUCGAAAAUCCCGGUUCUCAUCAAGAAUCUCCGACUUCAUUUCCCUGCACUUGUCGCCGGUGGGCGCAGAUGAAAGUGGGAGAGAAACGCAAGGCCCAGGGCGCCUUGCUUUGGCAGCCAGCCCCUCGGCCUUUGCUUAUGUACCGGGCACCUGAUCAUCAAGCCAAAGACACGGGUGGCUGGUUUCCUAAACGCCCCAGAUGCACCCGGAGCUCCUCCCCUCCGGGGGCCGCCUCUUUGCCCCUUUAUCUGGGCACCGCCUUCCUGCACCCACCCACCACCUCCUUCGCAGACUGGCCGCGCCUUCCCUUGGCUCCCCCUAGCGGCGGGCGCCGUCCAUCACCCGUGGGAACACGGGUCCCGCACCUCCCGCGCCGGCUCCAAGGCAGACGGAAAAGACAUUAAAACCGGAGAAAGCCGAGCAUCGAUCCCUCAGCGGAGAUCCAGCUUUUAUUUUCACCACAACCGACGGUCCCGUCAGACCUUGUGUGAGGUUUUUUUUUUUUCUUUCCUGUCUGAUUACACACAAAAAAAUCACAACCAUGUAAACCAAAAUUUGUAACUUAUAUAAUCAAGACUUUUAGGUGUGAUUCUUUAUUACACGUAAAAAUAAAAUCGAUAAAAAAUAAAAAA